UACAUGCUUCCAAAUGUAAUGAGUUUCUGAAAAUCUCCUGUCUACUUGAAAUCUGAACAUGAGACAAAUGUAUUUGAUCUUACUGAGAAACUGUGAAACAAGUUUCUUACUGAGAAACAACUACCCCUUUAAACUUAACAAAUGCUAUCUCAUGGAUUAGAUAGAGCCUUCUCAGAUUUCAGGUGUAUACCUGGGUUACAGAAACAUAUAUUUCCAGAAGCAUUAUCUUUUUCCAUUCUUCAAACAUAUGUGAAUGUAGAUGGCAUCAGCUGCUCGCAGCACUUUGGAACAUCAGCUGAAGCAUCGGAUGCUCUGUGUACUUACAAACAAAGCUGCAGAUAGCAAACCUGGGAAAUGAAAUAUGGAAGGUACUAAACUAGAACAAUGCUGGAGGAGGACAAAAUGAGCACAUACAGGCCAACCUUGCUGAGGCAGGCAAUAAGUCUGGCUGUGUUAUUCAUUUAUGGCAAAGCCAGCCUUUCUUUCUUAUUGUUAUGAAUUUCUGGAGUUUGCACUUGUUUAAUUUCUAUGUAUCUGAGGGUCAUGGGAGGGAGAAAAAAAAUCAAAUCAUAUGAAACAUGUGACUUGACAUGCUUCUUUAUAGCUUAACUAUUCAAAUAUAUGUAAUUAUUUAAUUGCAAGAUUCAGGAAAAUUAUUUUGUUAUUUCUCAAGCUCCUCAGAUGCAAUGAAGGUAAGAUAUGCAACCAGCAUGAUUCUAAGCAGAGGCAAACUUACAAUUUUGCUUGAUGCUUAGCAUGAUGUCACAUCUUUGGGAAGAAACAGUUGAGUAGUUUGAGAACAAAAUUGUUCUCAAAUACUGCUAUGGUUUGAAAGCAGAAAUAAUCAAGAAUUUUUUGUCAUUUAGAUACAGAAAAUUUAGAAGUCACAUUUUUGGGAUCCUCUGAAAGGUCUUUGGAAAUUCAGAUACAAAAUAUGAGAAUUCAAAAUACAGAACCAAACUAAUAAACCACAAGGUAAAAAAAAAAAAAAAAAAAGCUGAAAAAUAAGGAAAAAAAACCCAAACAUGGCUUCUUGCUGUUCGAGGUCAAGCCCAUUGUUUCUAUUGUUUUGCAGAACUUUCCCAAAGAAUGUUUUUUUUCUAUUAAAAUAUGUCUCAAAAAAUACAGUUAGAGUCAAUGAAGAGUAAAAAGUUACAUGUAUAAGUGCCAGAUGAUUUCUAUCUUCAAUUUAGUCACCUCCUGUAUGCUUCUUUCUCCCAAAGAUUUGGAAGCUUUUUAGACUAAAAAUAAUGUUCCUUCCUUCUUGCUGCUUUUCUGAUUUAAGCACAUGAUGUCUCCCCUCUGCCAGCCUGAAAAAAAUCCUCCCAGAGGAGAUGAGCACUUUGCCUUAAGGAGGAGCAUAAUAUUGCCUUCUCAUUUCUACUGUGCAAAAAGCAGAAUACAGAGGGGCAUGUGCUAACAGCAGAGUAAUGCCACAAGCCUUGGAAGAAUGGUUAUUUUGUUUGUAAUUUAUUCACCAAAAAGGUCAACUCAGACACAACAUCUGUUUUCCUCUCUGAUCCCAGUUUCACCAAAUAAUUUUGCAUGCUGCUGAUGUUUUUCAGGGAAAAGGCAAGAUUAAUUAGCUGUUUCAGGGGUCUUUCAAAAAUAUUCUGAAAUACUGUUACAAUUAUGGGCACAUAGCAAAAUCAUUCUGUGUGAGAUUCAGCUUGGUAUCUUACAGGGAGAAGCUUGGGAAGAGAUAUGAUGAGAUGAGAAAACAGCUAGGUGCAAGAAGAACCAUUAUGGGAUAGGAUGUAAACAAUUAUUAACUUGGAGAACCGAACCUUCAGAAAGAGAAUGAUGCAAAUUGCUGCUUCUCUGGGCUGGUUCAUAAUGAUCCAUUCUUCAAUUGCUUGUAACAUCCAUGGAUCAAGACCCUUUGGAAAACUUCAUUUUUUUGAUGGACAUGACUAAUGGUAGGAGGUGACAAGUGAGGAAGAUGCGUGAUUCCACUACAUUGUGAAAAUACUGAGCAUCAGCAGUAAGAAACAGGUUAGUCUCACUAAACCAUAAUCUGAAAGUUUACAGGGUUUGGUUUGGUUUUGUUUGGGUUUGUUUGCUUGUUUGGGAUUUUGGUUGGUUGGUUGGUUUUUUGGUUCAUUGGCUUGUGGUGUUUGUUUGUUUCCUGGGAAAAGUGGCCUAGUUUGUGAUCAGAACCUACAGCUUGAAUUUUGAAGCUUAACAGGUUUGACUUGUCUGGUUGCAGUACCCUGCAGAUCAAAGACAUCACUCAGCCAGCUAAGUCUCUAGUAAUUAGUAUCUGAGCUUCAUAAAUAUCUAAUUUUAUCAAUGCUUCUGUGACUAUACAUGAAUGAAGUCAUAAGCUACUCUGAGUGUAGGCUGUAAAUGAACUGGUAAUAUUUACUGAAUGUAAUGUAAAUCAGGGCUCUUUAGAGCUCAUCAGUGAGCAAGAAUCGAUAUUAAGGACACUGUAAAUUUUCAGAUUUUUUUUUUCUCUGAUAAAUAGAUUGAUUACUUUGGGUUCUUCUGGGAGGAAGCACAGUUCUGCUAGCACUGGAGUGGAAGCCAGAUAGCUGCUUUUCAACUUACUCUUCUAUAAAACAGUGACAAUAUGAGUAACCUUAUAUAUUUUCUUGACACUUUCUUUAUAAACGAAGUCCUGGUGUUUUUAGGUCCUUGCAGUCCAGUUUCAGUUGAUGUUCAUCAUUUACAUGCACAGAUAAAUACGUCCUGGAGAUAUAUCCUAUUUACAAUAAAUAAAUAGAAAUAUUUAUACUUAGGUGUGUUGGGAUUAGAAUAUCUCUGCUUUUUCAUCCAUAUUUCUGUCACUUGGCCAGGUACUUGGAAAUUUUCUCCAUUCCAGUCGAUGCAGUGAGUAGUUUCUUUUUCCAGAAAAGUGCCAAUUAUUUCUAUUCUGACAAAGCUCCCAAAUGAGCACCUUCUCUGGCCCUCAAGGCCAAGAUUAUCACCAUUCUCACUGAUCCAUCAGAUCAAGAAUACUCUUGAUAUCAACUAUAAUGUUGUAGUCUCUUAUUACUACCAUUCAUUGUAUUUUUUCCUCUGUGUUAAACUAUCAAAAGAGUGCAGCAUGACACCUACCAUGCUAUAUCUGAAACCGCCACAUUUGUUAAUGUCACCUGCAGAAUACAUUUAGCAUGGUUGUGGUACUGCUACGACACUUCAACAAUGCAUUAGCAUUUAGAGACAGUUUUCCAGCAGCACCAGGGAGUACUCGAGGACCCAGCACACCUUCCCUGAGGUGGUCACAGCAGGACUGCACAUCCCAGGGUAAUACAGAUCCUGCAGAAGGGGAUACUUUGAGCCUGGGUGGUACAGGACCUGUGUAGCAAGACGGUUAUCUUGCUUUCCCUGCUUUCACAUAUGAAAUAGCGAGCUAGAUCACAUAAGCUUAUUGAAGGUCCAGUUUUCCUAUCCAGUCCAGCUCACCAUAUAGGCUGUAGUGCUCUUUUUCACAUAUAUAUAAUUGCCCAAACAUAAACUAAUACACAUUAUAAAUUUGUGUCCAUCUAUUAUACCUACUUCUCCUGUUGUGGAUUAGUGGCAUUGUAUGAAUGCUCAAGUCAACAAAUGAGGCUUCUCUUUAUGUGCUUUCUGAAACCUGGUGACCUUGUAUAACUUCCCUCUCCUUGUAGUGACUAGAAGAGGAAAUAAAGGUCCCAAAUAAAUGGGUGUGCUGUCUUCCUGACAUUAGACAGCCUGUAUGACCAUGACUGUUGAUGAAUGUGUAAAUAAAUUCCCAGACUCUGAAGGAGUUUGUGUCUCUCCACUUACGGUUGAGAACCUAGUAAGACUAGCUUCCUAAUUUAAGCAGCCAUGUUAGACAUCUAAGGCUAGACAGAGCAAAUACUGCUAAUAAUGGAAUAUAAAUACAUGUUAAAAAUAAAAAUGACUUAAAGAAACUGAUGUCAGAAAUAAUCUGUUGGUAAAACCUGCUCUCAGCAAGUCUGAUCAAUGCACACCACAAGUGGUGUCCUGCACCACCUGUGCUAGGGCUCCUGUUUAUUUUCAUAUCGAAGUGGCUCAAGUUGUGGCAGUAAUAUUAAGAAUUCCUGUAAAAAAAAAUCAAGGGCAAGGAAGGAGAGCACUGGGAAAAGAAAAACCUUGUUUGUGAUGUUAGAGGCUUUAUUAUGUUUAAGAAACAGCUGAAAGAAUUUGCAUUUUGUUGAGGUUUAUUUUAUUCUCCCAUCUGUUCUGCACUUUUCACUACAUACUUUCUUUUUUCAUUUUAAAAUCAAGUUCUGAUUAUAAUAGAGUUUUCUGAAAGGCAUUGGAGAAAAUGUGUUGAUGAGAUGAGGAAACUUGUGGAAAUAAAGUUUUGAAAGUAAAAGUAUUUUUGAGUCAGAAUGCUUAAAGAAAUGCAGAAAAAAAAAGGACAAUUAAAUAAUCCUAAAAUACAAAGACAUUGCUAUCAGGGCACUUUUGAUUUCUUUAAGAAAAUUCUUCAGACUUAGUGGUUCAUCCUGAAUACAAGGAAGAACAGAUUUUUCUAUUCAAAGAAAUUACAGAAACGGUAAAUGAAUAUACAUUCAAAUCACUGCUAUCUAUACCACUUGUAAGACACAAAAGCUUUCUCAAUUCAUUUGUUGAAAUAGUUUGCCUUAGAACCUGACCCAAGCAUUAUUAAAAUCACAGGUAGGAUCCUAGCAUCCCAUCCAUCUACUAAUUUCUGUUAAAAUGAGUAUUGGGAAAAAGAUUUACAUUUCAGCUAACAGGAAAUCUUGGAACUUUGUGGUUCAGAAAUGCCUAUAUACUGGCACUUCAUUAUUGCUAGCAAUAUUUGCAUAGCUUAGAGGUGUGAACCCCUGUUUAAAUGCAUAUUGCCUGAAAAGUGGAUUUUGAAAGUCUGUCAAAAAAUCAGUCCUCUUAACAUAGCAUUUGAAUCUGUACUCAGCCUUCAAUAUUGCUGAAAUCUCAGUGGGACUUAAAAUUAUGCUUGAAGGCUGUCCGUAAGAAAAAUUUUUCUAAGGAAGUAAUUUUCUGAAGCAUGGCCUAUAAAUGGUCUGAAAAACAGCAAAGAAUCUUUGUCUUCCCACUUAAUGAACUUCAGAUCAAUUAUAAAAAUACCCAUUUUUAAAAGUUCUCCAGAAUGAACUGUUUUUGUGUCACGCAUGUGGCUGUCAGCCUCAUUUCCAGCUGGCAGUUUGAAAACCAACCUGCAGAAGCAGCUCCCUUUGUCAUAAAUUUAACUUGACAACUUCUCUGCAGGGCUUUCAAUUAGGAUCUUUUUCUAAGAAAAUAUUAAAAAGAAUGGAAGUGUCAGUCCAAAUGUGAUGAGCAAAUGCUAUUUUAUGGGAGACCUACACAUACUACUUUUUGUUCAGACUCCAUGACGAUCAGGAGCUUUGCAAGGCCAAGUGUUGGAUAAAAACCACUGCAUGAUAAUUAAAUAACUCUUAAAAGCUCUUUUGCCAUUGGAGUGGAUUUGGGUGUUGGGUGCCGGCCAGCACUGGGGGGCUCAUGGGCUUUCUUGCCGAGCUGAGGGAUGAGGAUACAAGGUAGUGAAGCAGAUCUGUGAUGCUACUCAAACAAUCUGAUCCCUUUCACUUAUAAUUUUGCACACUCAAUGCAGGAACUUAAAACAAACCCUCCAGCUUCAAGUUGGUAUUUACUCAAAGUUUUGGUUAUGAAGCAGUGGGAGCUCACGUGCCUGGAAAGACACGAAAACCUCGGGCAUGGUAAAAGCUUUCUGUGCCUCAAGUGUAAACUGUCAAGCAGUGUUGAGAUGAUAAUUUGAUCAGCUUGUCAUAGCUGCAAUCCCUAGCAGCUCUUCUCCUGCAGCUGCCUCCAGGUAAGCCUGGCUGGUUUUUAAGUUGUAAGUGAUCAUGUCUGACCUCUCAUCAGAAUCGCCACUACUGCCUCUAUCAGUCAUGAUAACUUUUGUCUUCUGGGCUUCAUAACAGGAAGCUAUUUUGUGAAGUAUGGAGAGAAAAUUUAUAAUCAAGUUUCUAGUUUGAAAAGUGGUAAAACUGACCUUGAAGCAGUCAUUAAAUGUAAAUUGAUUCAACCAUUUCUGCAUGAAUCUUCAGAAAGCCUUAAACCAGUCACUCAGUAGGUGUGAGCAGGGAUACAGGAGCCCCUGUGUCUGCCUGGACGACGGGCCAGUUUCUGAAAUCAUAUUGACUUUGUCACUGAAACGUGAGUGAAAAACUCUUAGAAGUGCUUAAGGAUUGCCACAAGCGGUGACUGUACAAAGGAGAUCAAAUAACAUCCCGCACACUCUCUGUAUAUGUACCACACUGGCGUUCCUCAUCUACUGCCUCUCUCUUCUGUUGAAGCUGGAAUUGUAACAGCUUGACCAGGUAUGUGCUAAAUUUGUUAAAGGUAUUCUUUUCUUUUUACAGCUAUGAAUUAUAGACAGGCAGCAACUGGGAAAGGAUUCAAUUAUGAAAAUGGAUGAAGUUCAAAAGUUUGUUGGAAUUUCUCCAUUUUGUAAUUAUUCCAAUGUCCUAGCAUGGUUUAUAUGCUUAUUAUUUUGCAGAAAAAAAAAUGUUUAUAUGAAAAUGUUUUCAGACACUAUUCAGCAUGGAACAAGUUGAGGAGGACUGAGGCUGAUGGUAACUUACAGCAAUCAGGCUCUUGCGACGGGUGUUCAGAAACUGUCAACAACCAUCACUCUAAGUGCAAGUUUUUUCAUAAUUCAUGAAUUCUGAACUUCAAGUCCUUCCUAGGUAGCUAGGAAAGGUCUGAGACUGUUAAUUGCCUAAAUGUCUAUGACGCAAACCACCAAUGUAAAGUAAAAUUUAAUAAGGGCUAGAUGAAGAAACUGCAUUCUCUUUUUGGAAAUACUAAGAGACUUUUUUUAUUUAUUUCAGAAUCCAUGCUAAUUAUUUAAACUAGAUAUUUCUGCAGAGUAUUUACAUUUCAAGAAAGGCAGGUUUUAAAUUAAGUCUUACUUUCAAAAUUCUUGUUCAGCUCCUGGUAUCUCACUAUUUUGACAAUAAUGGUACCUGCUGAGAUCCAGUACUUAUGAGCCACCAUCUUUUAUGGCAAGACAGAAUCAGAGGCCGGAAGUAUAUGGGAAAUGUCAUUCAGUUAUCAAAAUAAUUGGUAUAUGGGUACAGUUCUGAGAACAUUUUAAGAAGAUAGAAAAAGGGAGAGAUCAUUUUCACCCCAAAAAAUUAUACUCAGAGAAUGAAAUCUUACCCUUUUGUAACUGAUAGCAAAAUUAAUGUUAGAUACAGUGGAGCUAGCCAGAUAAUUGGCAAAAAGAGAUGAACACAGGUAAGUAGUCUUAUUUUAAAAUUAACUAGAAAUCUGUCAAAUAAUUCAAGCAUCAAGCAGAACUUUUAAAAGUAAUAAGACACCUAAUUUUCUGUCUCCAUGCACAUUUCAGGUUAGAAACCUACUAGUUUCAUGUCCUCAGAAAUACCUUUGUGAACUUUUUAAUGCAAUUGAAAGGAAAACACACAAACGAAACGAAGCCAAAACGAAAAGAUGUUGAUGAUUAUUUUCUUUGUUGAAUUUUGUGACUUUCUGUUAGAUAUCUCUACAAAAGAGAUUUUUAGCUGAACCGUGUAUUCAGGUCAGUGAUGCUUUUCUCUUUGUCUGUAAAACUCCGGAAAAAUUCUUGAGUAGCAGAGCUGAGAUUUUCUGGGUUCCAGAAUUUCAGAGUUUCAGUCAUUGAUACACAGAACUUUGUUUUAUUUUCUGGAAAAAAAAAAAAAAUUAUUAGGCACAUAAUUUUGUAUCUUGUUAACAAAGCCAUCAGAUAUAACCAAAUUCACAACUGUCUGUAGAUACAGGAACCAACGUAUGUAGCUCUCUACUAUACCAGUCCCCUGAGUGCUGCCAUUUCUCAAAAAAUGGGUUUGACAUUUUGAUGCUGCA